GUAGGGAAUAUUGGGCAAUGGGCGAAAGCCUGACCCAGCAACGCCGCGUGAGGGAAGAAGGCCUUCGGGUUGUAAACCUCUGUCCUUGGUGACGAAGAAAGUGACGGUAGCCAAGGAGGAAGCCCCGGCUAACUACGUGCCAGCAGCCGCGGUAAUACGUAGGGGGCGAGCGUUGUCCGGAAUUACUGGGCGUAAAGGGUGCGUAGGUGGCCUUUUAAGUUGGAUGUGAAAUACCCGGGCUUAACUUGGGGGGUGCAUCUAAUACUGGGAGGCUAGAGUGCAGGAGAGGGAAGCGGAAUUCCUAGUGUAGCGGUGAAAUGCGUAGAUAUUAGGAGGAACACCAGUGGCGAAGGCGGCUUUCUGGACUGUAACUGACACUGAGGCACGAAAGCGUGGGGAGCAAACAGGAUUAGAUACCCGUGUAGUCC
rnacentral:rRNA from 1 species